GACGAACGCUGGCGGCGCGCCUAACACAUGCAAGUCGAACGAGCGAGAGGAGGUUUACUUUCUCAAGCGAGUGGCGAACGGGUGAGUAACGCGUGAGGAACCUGCCUCAAAGAGGGGGACAACAGUUGGAAACGACUGCUAAUACCGCAUAAGCCCACGACCCGGCAUCGGGUAGAGGGAAAAGGAGCAAUCCGCUUUGAGAUGGCCUCGCGUCCGAUUAGCUAGUUGGUGAGGUAAUGGCCCACCAAGGCGACGAUCGGUAGCCGGACUGAGAGGUUGAACGGCCACAUUGGGACUGAGACACGGCCCAGACUCCUACGGGAGGCAGCAGUGGGGAAUAUUGCACAAUGGGGGAAACCCUGAUGCAGCGACGCCGCGUGGAGGAAGAAGGUCUUCGGAUUGUAAACUCCUGUUGUUGAGGAAGAUAAUGACGGUACUCAACAAGGAAGUGACGGCUAACUACGUGCCAGCAGCCGCGGUAAAACGUAGGUCACAAGCGUUGUCCGGAAUUACUGGGUGUAAAGGGAGCGCAGGCGGGAAGACAAGUUGGAAGUGAAAUCCAUGGGCUCAACCCAUGAACUGCUUUCAAAACUGUUUUUCUUGAGUAGUGCAGAGGUAGGCGGAAUUCCCGGUGUAGCGGUGGAAUGCGUAGAUAUCGGGAGGAACACCAGUGGCGAAGGCGGCCUACUGGGCACCAACUGACGCUGAGGCUCGAAAGUGUGGGUAGCAAACAGGAUUAGAUACCCUGGUAGUCCACACUGUAAAC
rnacentral:rRNA from 1 species